rnacentral:rRNA from 1 species
AUUGAACGCUGGCGGCAGGCCUAACACAUGCAAGUCGAGCGGAGCGGCGGACGGGUGAGUAAUGCCUAGGAAUCUGCCUGGUAGUGGGGGAUAACGUCUGGAAACGGGCGCUAAUACCGCAUACUAUCAGAUGAGCCUAGGUCGGAUUAGCUAGUUGGUGGGGGAAAGGCCUACCAAGGCGACGAUCCGUAACUGGUCUGAGAGGAUGAUCAGUCACACUGGAACUGAGACACGAUCCAGAUUCGUACGAGAGGCAGCAGUGGGGAAUAUUGGACACUGGACGAAAGCCUGAUCCAGCCAUGCCGCGUGUGUGAAGAAGGUCUUCGGAUUGUAAAGCGCUUUAAGUUGGGAGGCGUUACCAGCAGAAUAAGCACCGGCUAACUACGUGCCAGCAGCCGCGGUAAUAC